rnacentral:rRNA from 1 species
UACGGAGGGAGCUAGCGUUGUUCGGAAUUACUGGGCGUAAAGCGCACGUAGGCGGCUUUGUAAGUUAGAGGUGAAAGCCCGGAGCUCAACUCCGGAAUUGCCUUUAAGACUGCAUCGCUAGAACGUCGGAGAGGUGAGUGGAAUUCCGAGUGUAGAGGUGAAAUUCGUAGAUAUUCGGAAGAACACCAGUGGCGAAGGCGACUCACUGGACGACUGUUGACGCUGAGGUGCGAAAGCGUGGGGAGCAAACAGG